rnacentral:snoRNA from 1 species
UGGGAGGCUGACACACAAAUUGGGCUGAAGUGCCGCUCUAAUUGUCAUUGUACCUCCCUAGAGUAAAACUGCCUUUUGAUGACCGGGAUAAAUUGAGUGAAAUUGUAACGGACAGAUACGGGGCAGACAGUU